GCUACCAAAACAGAAGAGCUCCCAAGACAAGCAGCGCCCUCUACUUGCUGAGACACUUGACCUUUUUAAAACACAAUGUCAGCACUAUUUGGCCUGCUGCCUUUCUGAGUUGUGCACUGAAAUGUUUUCAAAAGGUUGUCGAUGACUUUCUGGCUUGUUGCUUGUGUGUUUCAUCAAGCCGAGGGAAAGAGAAUGCACAUUAAAACUACAUCAAGUAUGACAAAUGGGACUUUUAUUCCAAUUUUUCGUUUUGAAAUUUUAUUCUUGAGUUUUUUUUCUAGUUACUGUAAUGUUUUGAUCUUAGUCAGGUCAAUCUGGCAAGCUCACACCCCAUACUAAUAUUACUUGUAUGACUGGAUUGUAACUACAAUAGUGCUUAACAAACCAAAACAAGAAUCACACAAAAACUUAAAAGAAAAAAAAAGUCUAGGCACCCAGCAAGUAAAUGUUUAGGCAUCAGGCAAACAAAACUCAGCUCAGGAUUCAAAGUCGAGUUCUCUGUAAAAAAAAUGUUUUACAUGUUUCGGAUGUUCCUUCAGAGUUGAAGAAAGUUUACUUCCUAGUCCAAACCUCCCGCAGGACGACUUGGGAUGGGAGCGGGCAGGAUUUGAACCCUCGACCAUCAAUAAAUCCGAACGACAGUCCAGCGUGCAAACCGCACGACCAGGCUGGCAUCUCUUCAUACUCUCAGACACAGAUCACAGGUUCCUUCAAACUGUCGACACAUUUGUUUUCUUUUGGGUGUUGGAAGCUUCUGCUCUAGAAAUGAUCAUCUUUCUUGAACUGAUCCCUUGAAUUGUACAGUUCCUUUAGUUCGGGAGACAAGCGCUCUAACACUCAACCACUACAUCACCACAGUUACAUUACAUAAUAUCACUGCCUGGUAUGGCAAUCUGAGCAUUAAAAAUAAAAAUAAACUUAAUAGAAUCCUAAAUGCUGCUAGUAAAAUCACUGGCAAAAAAACAAACCCCAUUUGGGCAGUUGUUUGAGACAAACAUCUAUAAAAAAAAAAGCUAACAAGAUCCUCGAAAUAAAGAAUCACCCUUUGUGUCAGGAUUUUGUGAUCUUACCAUCACAAAAGAGAUACAAGACACCAAUAGCAAAGACAAACAGACACAAACACUCUUUUGUUCCCCUGGCAAUCAAAUCAUUAAAUAAGAACAAUCUGGUAUAAACUUUGUCACAUGUAAAUUAUGAGUGAGUCUGGUGUGAAUGUACACUUUGGUUUCUUAUAGUUAUAAUGUUUUUUGUUUGGUGUGA